GGGUGGUUGCUGGGGCUGAGGUUGCAGCAGUGGCGGUAUGGUCUGUUGUGGUUGCGGAUGGAACUGCAGUUGAGGUUGCACGGUUUGCGGUGGCUCGGCCUGAGGCUGAAGCUGCAGUUGAGGUUGCGGGUGGAAGGUUUGCGGUGGUUGAGCCUGAGGCUGUAACUGCAGCUGAGGUUGCAGUGGCUGUUGUGGUUGAGGAUGCAGCUGCACUUGAGCAUGAAGGGGUUGCUGUGGUUGAGCCUGAGGAUGCAGCUGCACUUGAGCAUGCAGGGGCUGCUGUGAUUGAGCCUGAGG
rnacentral:lncRNA from 1 species